UACGUAGGGGGCUAGCGUUGUCCGGAAUCAUUGGGCGUAAAGAGCGUGUAGGCGGCCCGGUAAGUCCGCUGUAAAAGUCAAAGGCUCAACCUUUGAAUGUCAGUGGAUACUGCCGGGCUAGAGUCCGGAAGAGGCGAGUGGAAUUCCUGGUGUAGCGGUGAAAUGCGCAGAUAUCAGGAGGAACACCUAUGGCGAAGGCAGCUCGCUGGGACGUGACUGACGCUGAGACGCGAAAGCGUGGGGAGCAAACAGG
rnacentral:rRNA from 1 species